CCUACGGGAGGCAGCAGUGGGGAAUAUUGGACAAUGGGGGCAACCCUGAUCCAGCAAUGCCGCGUGUGUGAUGAAGGCCUUAGGGUUGUAAAGCACUUUCACUGGUGAAGAUGAUGACGGUAACCAGAGAAGAAGCCCCGGCUAACUUCGUGCCAGCAGCCGCGGUAAUACGAAGGGGGCGAGCGUUGUUCGGAAUUACUGGGCGUAAAGGGAGCGCAGGCGGUUCAUUAAGUUAGGCGUGAAAUCCCCGGGCUCAACCUGGGAACUGCGCUUAAUACUGAUGAACUAGAAAACAGGAGAGGGUAGUGGAAUUUCCAGUGUAGAGGUGAAAUUCGUAGAUAUUGGAAAGAACACCGGUGGCGAAAGCGGCUACCUGGCCUGAUUUUGACGCUGAGGCUCGAAAGCGUGGGGAGCAAACAGGAUUAGAUACCCUGGUAGUCCACGCCGUAAACGAUGACAGCUAGAUGUCGGGGGGUCGCCCCUCGGUGUCGCCGCUAACGCAUUAAGCUGUCCGCCUGGGAAGUACGGUCGCAAGGUUAAAACUCAAAGGAAUUGACGG
rnacentral:rRNA from 1 species